rnacentral:lncRNA from 1 species
AAUGAUUAGCUCGAAAGACAUUCAGGACAUCUCUUUAAGCUCUGAAGGGAGAAAAAGAAACAGAAAAGAUGAUCCAAAUGACUCUCCUGAUCAACAUUUCCAACAUCGACAUCGUACCCGUGAAUAUCCUCGUGCACUGGACAACCCUCCCCAACAUUACUUUUCUCCACAGAACUCCCAAAGACAUACCUCACUCUCCAAAUACCCAGCUCAAUAAAAUGUCUAUCUACCCCCACGAGCAUACCAGAAACCCCCUGGGUCAGGUUUUUGGCCAAAUCAGGCGUGUAAGAAUGAG